rnacentral:rRNA from 1 species
AUUGAACGCUGGCGGCAUGCUUUACACAUGCAAGUCGAACGGUAACAGGCCGCAAGGUGCUGACGAGUGGCGAACGGGUGAGUAAUGCAUCGGAACGUGCCCAGUCGUGGGGGAUAACGCAGCGAAAGCUGCGCUAAUACCGCAUACGACCUAUGGAUGAAAGCGGGGGACCGUAAGGCCUCGCGCGAUUGGAGCGGCCGAUGUCAGAUUAGGUAGUUGGUGGGGUAAAGGCUCACCAAGCCAACGAUCUGUAGCUGGUCUGAGAGGACGACCAGCCACACUGGGACUGAGACACGGCCCAGACUCCUACGGGAGGCAGCAGUGGGGAAUUUUGGACAAUGGGCGCAAGCCUGAUCCAGCAAUGCCGCGUGCAGGAAGAAGGCCUUCGGGUUGUAAACUGCUUUUGUACGGAACGAAACGGUCCGGGUUAAUACCCUGGGCUAAUGACGGUACCGUAAGAAUAAGCACCGGCUAACUACGUGCCAGCCGCCGCAGUAAAAC